rfam:Anopheles gambiae str. PEST whole genome shotgun sequencing project, whole genome shotgun sequence.
CUAGUAGCAGGGGCCGUUUGUCGCGUCGGUUCGUGCGACCGAACGACAUCGCACGCUGGCCGGCCUCAAAAACGCCGGGAUAACUGGCUUGUGGCCUCCAAGCGUUCAUAGCGACGUGGCUUUUUGAUCCUUCGAUGUCGGCUCUUCCUAUCAUAGUCAAGCAAAAUUCACCAAGUGUUGGAUUGUUCAACCUUUCAAGGGAAGGUGAGCUGGGUUUAGACCGUCGUGAGACAGGUUAGUUUUACCCUACUGAUGUGUGCUUAUAGUCGCUAUCUUAACGGAAUUCCUGUGCAGUACGAGAGGAACUACAGGUACGGAUCACUGAUUCAAUACUAGGUACAUAAUGAGAAAUAUUGCUGGUACACACGUGUAUUGUUUAAUAAUAAAAGUAUAAAAUAUGCCUCUCCCCAUACUCCAACUUUGUGUUUUGUGUUUCGAAACAGGAAGAUAAAUAAUAAGAUAAAUUAUGUGUUUUUUGAGAGACUUGGAAUGUUUUUUAUGGUUAAUGUCAUAAUAUAUUUACAUUAUUAAAAUACGAUAUUUGUGUAGUUCUUUAAAAAACAAAAACAUACUAACAAUUU